rnacentral:rRNA from 1 species
CCCUUAGAUGUUCUGGGCCGCACGCGCGCUACACUGAUGCAUUCAACGAGUUUCUUCCUGGUCCGAGAGGAAUGGGUAACCUUUUGAAAGUGCAUCGUGAUAGGGAUAGACUAUUGCAAUUAUUGGUCUUCAACGAGGAAUUCCUAGUAGACGUAGUUCAUCAGACUGCAUCGAUUACGUCCCUGCCCUUUGUACACACCGCCCGUCGCUCCUGCCGAUUGAAUGCUCAGGUGAGCCAUUCGGACUUUCAUCAUGCUGGUUUCCAGUUUUGAUGAAGGAAAGUCUUGCGAACCUUAUCAUUUAGAGGAAGGAGAAGUCGUAAC